GACGAACGCUGGCGGCGUGCCUAAUACAUGCAAGUCGAACGAGUGGCGGACGGGUGAGUAACACGUGGGUAACUACCCAUUAGAGGGGGAUAACUACUGGAAACGGUGGCUAAUACCGCAUACUAUCGGAUGAACCCAUAUGGGAUUAGCUAGUAGGUGGGGUAAAGGCUCACCUAGGCGACGAUCUCUAGCUGGUCUGCGAGGAGGAUCGACCACACUGGGACUGGGACACGGCCCAAACUCCUACGAGAGGCAGCAGUGGGGAAUAUUGCAACAUGAGCGCAAGCCUGAUGCAGCCAUGCCGCAUGUAUGAAGAAGGCCUUAGGAUUGUAAAGUACUUUCAGCAGGGAGGCGUUACCCGCAGAAGAGGCACCGGCUAACUCCGUGCCAGCAGCCGCGGUAAUAC
rnacentral:rRNA from 1 species